UGAUCCCCUCUCAGCGAGGCGCAGUUAUUGACCCGCGCGGCUUCGGCUAGAGGAGACAUCGCGCCGGCGCGCACAAAUCUAAUUCAACGUCCUCUCUAGUCUAGACUCAGCCUUGCCUGGGCCCCGCCGCACCAUGCCUGCGCCCUGCGACUCGUGCAAAGGGACGUGCGGCGGAGGCACCGCUGCAUGCGGCGCGGGCUGCACCUGCGGUCCAAGCUGCUCGUGUGGCGAUGGCAAGCCUUCUGGUGGCAAACCCUGCUGUCAGGAUGGCGGCAAAAAGUAAUUUUAAUUUCAAAUCUACGUAGAUAUAAUCUUAAUAUUAUAAUUAUUUAACAAUCAAAAUAUGAAGAUCUUCAUAUUAAUGUAAUCUUAUUUGCAAAAAUAGCCUACGUUACUCAUUAAUAAUGUAGCUUUCUAAAGGCAAAAGAAUUUUUCAAAUCGGCCCAGUAGUUUUUAAGUUUAUUAGU